GUCUUAUAUUCAACAAUGAUUUUAAAUUGCAAAUUUAAAGGAGGUAAUAACCUAAGGCUUA
rnacentral:tRNA from 1 species